ensembl:lncRNA
AACUGACUGAGACUGACUACAAAGGGGACGAAUAUGCUCUUGGGCAAGUAGAUCAGGACCCUACGCAAUGCCACUCCCUUACAUGCUCCUGUCCAACCUCUCUGGACAUUAGGGGGUCACACCUCAUAAAGUUGAAGAAAUGCAGCCCUCCCGGAGGAAGUGAGUAGAGGAGAAGCAGAUGAGGAAGUUGAGGCAUGGAGCUGUUGAGGAAAUGAGACACCAGGAAGCCAAUGCAACCUGACUGGAAAGUCCAGUCUGCUAACCCGUAUACUACUGUAACCUGUUUCCCAAAGACAAACGAGAAACGCGAACUGAAACAUCCGGACUGUGCUGAAUAGCCGAGAAAAAGCAACCUCUGAACUUCAGAAUGUCUAAAGUUAAGCAAAGGGAGCCAUCUAGUGGCGAGAAUUCACACUGCAGCAGAUGACCACCUGUUAUAAAAUCAAGGAUCGCAGUCAAAUCGCCAAGACCCAGCGGUCCUCCUGUCUCUGUCCCAGCCACCUCCAGGGCUGGCGCUAGAGCCGUGCACACCAUACCUUGUUUUGGGGUUGGAUGCUGGAGUUCUGAACUCAGCACACACGGCAAGCCCCAGAUCUACUGGGCCACCUCACAAGUCCCUUCCUUUGCUUUUUUAAAAAAUGUUUUACAGUUAUCUAUUUCCUUCUUAUCUGUAGAAGCAAUUUUGCCUGCGUGUAUGUUUGUGCACCACGUGCAUGCCUGCUUCCUGUACAAGUCAUUAGAGGGCAUCAGAUUCCUUGGAAGCAGAUUUAUGGAUUAUUAAAAGGGACCGAGUGGAUGCUGGGAAACAAACCUGGGUAUCCCUUAAUUGACCCACUGUGCAAGAGAAGCAAGCCCUCUUCUCCACUGAACCAAGUCUAUGGUCCCCUUCUUUUGUUUCUUGAUAAUGUAUUUGUGGUGAAC